AGUGAACGCUGGCGGUAGGCCUAACACAUGCAAGUCGAACGGCAGCACAGGAGAGCUUGCUCUCUGGGUGGCGAGUGGCGGACGGGUGAGGAAUACAUCGGAAUCUACUCUGUCGUGGGGGAUAACGUAGGGAAACUUACGCUAAUACCGCAUACGACCUACGGGUGAAAGCAGGGGAUCUUCGGACCUUGCGCGAUUGAAUGAGCCGAUGUCGGAUUAGCUAGUUGGCGGGGUAAAGGCCCACCAAGGCGCCGAUCCGUAGCGGGUCUGAGAGGAUGCUCAGCCACACUGGAACUGGGACACGGUCCAGACUCCUACGGUAGGCAGCAGUGGGGAAUAUUGGACAAUGGGCGCAAGCCUGAUCCAGCAAUACCGCGGGGGUGAAGAAGGCCUUCGGGUUGUAAAGCCCUUUUGUUGGGAAAGAAAUCCAGCUGGCUAAUACCCGGUUGGGAUGACGGUACCCAAAGAAUAAGCCCCGGCUAACUUCGUGCCAGCAGCCGCCGUAA
rnacentral:rRNA from 1 species